UGGGAUAUCGUCUAAUGGUAGGACAGCGGAUUCUGACUCCGUCAAUCUAGGUUCGAGUCCUGGUAUCCCAGCCA
rnacentral:tRNA from 1 species